UAGCCAGUCCACCAUUAUUAUAGCAAUCCACCACGGAACAUGCACGCCUGCUUUUAAAGGGAAUGUGAGAUAACGCUCUGAUUGGUUUAUUGCACGUUACGCCCAAACCACACCUAUGAGUAAUGUAGCUACUUCAGACCAACCCAUAUUAGAUUUAAAACGCCCACAAAGCUACUUGCGUUUGGCGUUUGGUACUUGGGUUUCAGAUAAUUGGGCCCACAGACUGGAAAGAGGAGG